GCUGGGCACGGUGGCACAUGCCUAUAGUCCCAGCUACUUGAGAGGCUGAGGCAGGAGGGUUAUUUGAGCCCAGGAGUUCUGGGCUGUCAUGCACUAUGGAGAUCAGGUGUCUGCACUAAGUUCAGCAUCAAUAUGGUGACCUCCCAGGAAUGGGCACCACCAGGUUGCCUAAGGAGGGGUGAACUAGCCCAGGUCAGAAAAUGAAUAAGUCAAAAUUCUCAUGUUGAUCAGUAGGGGGAUCGCGCCUAUGAAUAGCCACUGCACUCCAGCCUGGGCGAGAAUUUGUCUCU
rnacentral:SRP_RNA from 1 species